GACGAACCGUGCGAACGUUAUUCGGAAUCACUGGGCUUAAAGGGUGCGUAGGCGGGCUGUCAAGUCUGGGGGUGAAAUCCCCGCGGCUCAACCGUGGAGCUGCCUCAGAUACUGAUGGCCUCGAGGAAGGUAGGGGCAUGCGGAACUGUAGGUGGAGCGGUGAAAUGCGUUGAUAUCUACAGGAACUCCGGUGGCGAAGGCGGCAUCCUGGACCAAUACUGACACUGAGGAGCGAAAGCCAGGGGAGCAAACGGG
rnacentral:rRNA from 1 species